UACUAAUCUGCCCAUAUGUCUGGGAUAGCCUUGGGAAACUGAGGGUAAUACCGGAUAGGAUAUACAAUCUGGAAUGAUGUAUAUCUCAAAGCUCCGGUGCGUAUGGAUGAGGUAGCGGCUGAUUAGGUAGUUGGUAGGGUAAUGGCCUACCAAGCCGAUGAUCAGUAGGGGCCAUGAAAGUGGUAGCCCCGAGAAGGACACUGAGAUACUGGUCCUAGCCCUACGGGGUGCAGCAGGCGCGAAACCUCUACAAUGCACGAAAGUGUGAUAGGGGAAUCCGAAGUGCUCAUGUAUCACAUGGGCUUUUUUUAAGAGUAAAAAUCUUGGAGAAUAAGUGGUGGGCAAGACUGGUGCCAGCAGCCGCGGUAACACCAGCGCCACAAGUGGCAAUCACAUAUUAGGCCUAAAGCGUCCGUAGUUGGUUUGGCAAAUCUCUUGUGAAAUUGUUGGGCUUAACCCAACAGCGUGCAGGAGACACUACCUUACUUGGAACCGGGAGGAGUCAGAAGUAUUUUUGGGGGAGCGGUAAAAUGUGAUAAUCCCAGAAGGACUACCUGUGGCGAAGGCGUCUGACUAGAACGGAUUCGACAAUGAGGGACGAAGGCUAGGGGAGCAAACCGGAUUAGAUACCCGAGUAGUCCUAGCAGUAAACUCUGCGAGCUAGGUGUUGCGCAUUCUAUGGGAAUGUGCAGUAUCGAAGCGAAGGCGAUAAGCUCGCCGCCUGGGAAGUACUGUCGCAAGACUGAAACUUAAA
rnacentral:rRNA from 1 species